rnacentral:rRNA from 3 species
GGGUUGUGAGGUUAAGCGACUAAGCGUACACGGUGGAUGCCCUGGCAGUCAGAGGCGAUGAAGGGCGUGCUAAUCUGCGAUAAGCGCCGGUAAGGUGAUAUGAACCGUUAUAACCGGCGAUACCCGAAUGGGGAAACCCAGUGUGAUUCGUCACACUAUCAUUAACUGAAUCCAUAGGUUAAUGAGGCGAACCGGGGGAACUGAAACAUCUAAGUACCCCGAGGAAAAGAAAUCAACCGAGAUUCCCCCAGUAGCGGCGAGCGAACGGGGAGGAGCCCAGAGCCUGAAUCAGCAUGUGUGUUAGUGGAAGCGUCUGGAAAGGUGCGCGAUACAGGGUGACAGCCCCGUACACAAAAGCGCAUGUGCUGUGAGCUCGAUGAGUAGGGCGGGACACGUGGUAUCCUGUCUGAAUAUGGGGGGACCAUCCUCCAAGGCUAAAUACUCCUGACUGACCGAUAGUGAACCAGUACCGUGAGGGAAAGGCGAAAAGAACCCCGGCGAGGGGAGUGAAAAAGAACCUGAAACCGUGUACGUACAAGCAGUGGGAGCACAGGUUUACCUGUGUGACUGCGUACCUUUUGUAUAAUGGGUCAGCGACUUAUAUUCUGUAGCAAGGUUAACCGUAUAGGGGAGCCGGAGGGAAACCGAGUCUUAAUUGGGCGUUAAGUUGCAGGGUAUAGACCCGAAACCCGGUGAUCUAGCCAUGGGCAGGUUGAAGGUUGGGUAACACUAACUGGAGGACCGAACCGACUAAUGUUGAAAAAUUAGCGGAUGACCUGUGGCUGGGGGUGAAAGGCCAAUCAAACCGGGAGAUAGCUGGUUCUCCCCGAAAGCUAUUUAGGUAGCGCCUCGUGAAUUCAUCUCCGGGGGUAGAGCACUGUUUCGGCUAGGGGGCCAUCCCGGCUUACCAACCCGAUGCAAACUGCGAAUACCGGAGAAUGUUAUCACGGGAGACACACGGCGGGUGCUAACGUCCGUCGUGAAGAGGGAAACAACCCAGACCGCCAGCUAAGGUCCCAAAGUCAUGGUUAAGUGGGAAACGAUGUGGGAAGGCCCAGACAGCCAGGAUGUUGGCUUAGAAGCAGCCAUCAUUUAAAGAAAGCGUAAUAGCUCACUGGUCGAGUCGGCCUGCGCGGAAGAUGUAACGGGGCUAAACCAUGCACCGAAGCUGCGGCAGCGAACGUAUCACCCAAGACAACUUUACGGAGUUGACGAUUGACGGAGCGAAGCGACGUCAAAGCGUUCAUUAAAGUCGAGUUGGCUUAGGGAUACGUUCGUUGGGUAGGGGAGCGUUCUGUAAGCCUGUGAAGGUGUGUCGUGAGGCAUGCUGGAGGUAUCAGAAGUGCGAAUGCUGACAUAAGUAACGAUAAAGCGGGUGAAAAGCCCGCUCGCCGGAAGACCAAGGGUUCCUGUCCAACGUUAAUCGGGGCAGGGUGAGUCGACCCCUAAGGCGAGGCCGAAAGGCGUAGUCGAUGGGAAACGGGUUAAUAUUCCCGUACUUGGUGUUACUGCGAAGGGGGGACGGAGAAGGCUAUGUUGGCCGGGCGACGGUUGUCCCGGUUUAAGCGUGUAGGUGUGUGUUCCAGGUAAAUCCGGUUCACUUUAACACUGAGGCGUGACGACGAGGCACUACGGUGCUGAAGCAACAAAUGCCCUGCUUCCAGGAAAAGCCUCUAAGCAUCAGGUAACAUCAAAUCGUACCCCAAACCGACACAGGUGGUCAGGUAGAGAAUACCAAGGCGCUUGAGAGAACUCGGGUGAAGGAACUAGGCAAAAUGGUGCCGUAACUUCGGGAGAAGGCACGCUGACACGUAGGUGAAGUGAUUUACUCAUGGAGCUGAAGUCAGUCGAAGAUACCAGCUGGCUGCAACUGUUUAUUAAAAACACAGCACUGUGCAAACACGAAAGUGGACGUAUACGGUGUGACGCCUGCCCGGUGCCGGAAGGUUAAUUGAUGGGGUCAGCGCAAGCGAAGCUCCUGAUCGAAGCCCCGGUAAACGGCGGCCGUAACUAUAACGGUCCUAAGGUAGCGAAAUUCCUUGUCGGGUAAGUUCCGACCUGCACGAAUGGCGUAAUGAUGGCCAGGCUGUCUCCACCCGAGACUCAGUGAAAUUGAACUCGCUGUGAAGAUGCAGUGUACCCGCGGCAAGACGGAAAGACCCCGUGAACCUUUACUAUAGCUUGACACUGAACAUUGAGCCUUGAUGUGUAGGAUAGGUGGGAGGCUUUGAAGUGUGGACGCCAGUCUGCAUGGAGCCGACCUUGAAAUACCACCCUUUAAUGUUUGAUGUUCUAACGUGGACCCGUAAUCCGGGUUGCGGACAGUGUCUGGUGGGUAGUUUGACUGGGGCGGUCUCCUCCUAAAGAGUAACGGAGGAGCACGAAGGUUGGCUAAUCCUGGUCGGACAUCAGGAGGUUAGUGCAAUGGCAUAAGCCAGCUUGACUGCGAGCGUGACGGCGCGAGCAGGUGCGAAAGCAGGUCAUAGUGAUCCGGUGGUUCUGAAUGGAAGGGCCAUCGCUCAACGGAUAAAAGGUACUCCGGGGAUAACAGGCUGAUACCGCCCAAGAGUUCAUAUCGACGGCGGUGUUUGGCACCUCGAUGUCGGCUCAUCACAUCCUGGGGCUGAAGUAGGUCCCAAGGGUAUGGCUGUUCGCCAUUUAAAGUGGUACGCGAGCUGGGUUUAGAACGUCGUGAGACAGUUCGGUCCCUAUCUGCCGUGGGCGCUGGAGAACUGAGGGGGGCUGCUCCUAGUACGAGAGGACCGGAGUGGACGCAUCACUGGUGUUCGGGUUGUCAUGCCAAUGGCACUGCCCGGUAGCUAAAUGCGGAAGAGAUAAGUGCUGAAAGCAUCUAAGCACGAAACUUGCCCCGAGAUGAGUUCUCCCUGAGACUUAGAGUCUCCUGAAGGAACGUUGAAGACGACGACGUUGAUAGGCCGGGUGUGUAAGCGCAGCGAUGCGUUGAGCUAACCGGUACUAAUGAACCGUGAGGCUUAACCUUACAACGCCGAAG